GAUGAACGCUGGCGGCGUGCCUAAUACAUGCAAGUCGUACGCGCAGCGAAAGGUGCUUGCACCUUUCAAGCGAGUGGCGAACGGGUGAGUAACACGAGGACAACCUGCCUCACGGUAGAGGCUAACAUUUGGAAACAGAUGCUAAUACCGAAUAACACUCAGUGUAGCAGGACACAAAGUUGAUAGGCGCUUUGCAGUCACCUUGAGAUGGCUACGCGGUGCAUUACUUAGUUGGUAGGGUAAAGGCCUACCAAGACAAAGGUGCAUAGCCGAGUUGAGAGACUCAUCGGCCACAUUGGAACUGCGACACGGCCCGAACUCCUCCGGGAGGCUUCAGUAGGGAAUCUUCCACAAUGGGCGAAAGCCUGAUGGAGCAACGCCGCGUGUGUGAUGAAGUCUUUCGGGUCGUAAAACACUGUUGUAUGGGAAGAACAGUUAGAAUAGGGAAUGAUUUUAGUUUGACGGUACCAUACCAGAAAGGGACGGCUAAAUACGUGCCAGCCGCCGCCGUAA
rnacentral:rRNA from 1 species